rnacentral:rRNA from 1 species
AGAGUUUGAUCCUGGCUCAGGAUGAACGCUGGCGGCGUGCCUAACGCAUGCAAGUCGAGCGAUUCUCUUCGGAGAAGAGCGGCGGACGGGUGAGUAACGCGUGGGUAACCUGCCCUGUACACACGGAUAACAUACCGAAAGGUAUGCUAAUACGGGAUAACAUAUUUUGAUGGCAUCAUCGAAAUAUCAAAGCUCCGGCGGUACAGGAUGGACCCGCGUCUGAUUAGCUAGUUGGUGAGGUAAUGGCUCACCAAGGCGACGAUCAGUAGCCGACCUGAGAGGGUGAUCGGCCACAUUGGAACUGAGACACGGUCCAAACUCCUACGGGAGGCAGCAGUGGGGAAUAUUGCACAAUGGGCGAAAGCCUGAUGCAGCAACGCCGCGUGAGCGAUGAAGGCCUUCGGGUCGUAAAGCUCUGUCCUCAAGGAAGAUAAUGACGGUACUUGAGGAGGAAGCCCCGGCUAACUACGUGCCAGCAGCCGCGGUAAUACGUAGGGGGCUAGCGUUAUCCGGAAUUACCGGGCGUAAAGGGUGCGUAGGUGGUUUUUUAAGUCAGAAGUGAAAGGCUACGGCUCAACCGUAGUAAGCUUUUGAAACUGAGAAACUUGAGUGCAGGAGAGUAGAGUAGAAUUCCUAGUGUAGCGGUGAAAUGCGUAGAUAUUAGGAGGAAUACCAGUUGCGAAGUCGGCUCUCUGGACUGUAACUGACACUGAGGCACGAAAGCGUGGGAAGCAAACAGGAUUAGAUACCCUGGUAGUCCACGCCGUAACGAUGAGUACUAGUGUCGGGGGUUACCCCCUCGGUGCCGCAGCUAACGCAUUAAGUACUCC